GCCCCGCCCCCGGCCUGCCCGGCUCCCCACGCCCCGCAACCCCUCCCACCCAGGCUCCCCUGACUUCUUAAGCAGGGCCCCGCAGGACACCGCGCUUGUUUCGCCAUAGCUUGGGGUGCAUUCCUCCAUCACGUCCCGGGCGCCAUGGAAACCGCCCGGUCAGCCCCCACCCCCUACACUGCCCCUAAAUUCAUUUGUCCCCCCAACUCCCAGAGGACUCCGCUGGACGAUCCCGCCUGUCCUUCCGAGUUCUGGGGUUAGUGGGAUUACAGAUAUGCACCACCAUGGCCAAUUGGUUUGAUGCCAGGGAUGUCUGAAGGAGAAACCUGGAUCGCCUUGGGAAGCCCAAGAUGUUAGAGAUGCCAGAGUCAUGGGAUGCCUGCCAAGGAGAGCUGCUAAGAGGGAGUGGAACCAGCCCAAGAGAAGGAAGUGUGUUGCAGUCAACAAAGCUGAAAGGAGCUGGAGAUCUGAAGAGUGUUUUGACAGCAGACAUGGAGAUGCAGACUCUGGGGUUUGCCCAGCAGGUUUUCUGUCUUGCUUUGGUCCAGUAUUUCCUACCUAUGCUCCCUUCCUACAUUUUGGAAUGGUAAUGUGUAUCCUGUGCCAUUAUAUGUUGGAAGUAUGUCAUCUAUUUUUUAUUUUGAUUUUAUAGAGGAUUAUAGUUAAGAGAUCAUGUGAAUCUCAGAAGAGACUUUGAACUUUGGACUUUUAAAACAUUGUUGAGACUGUGAUAGACUCUGGGGACUUUUGAAGUUGAACUAAAUGUAUUUUUGCAUGAUUAUAUUGUUACAAUCUUAUGGGGGGCCCAGGGAGUGGAUUGUGGUAAUUUGAAAGUAGUUGGCCCCCUUAAGCUCAUAGGGAGUGGCACUAUUAGGAGAUGUGACCUGUUGGAGCAGAUGGGGUCUUGUUGGAGGAAGGGUGUCACUGUGGGGGGGACUUUGAGGUCUCCUAUGCCCAAGCUACUCCCAGUAUCACAGACCACUUCCUGUUGCCUACACAAGAUGUAGGACUCUCAGCUCCUUCUCCAGCACCAUGCCUGCCUUGGUGCCAACUGUCCCACCACGGUGAUAAUGGACUGAACUUCUGAACUGUUAGCAAGCCAUCCCAGUUAAAUGUCGUGGUCAUGGUGUCUCUUCACAGCAAUAGAAAGCCUAACUAAGACACAGGGGGAUAUGUAUAUCAUAAUAAAUUGAAAACUGUAAUAAUCAUUCAAACAAAUACAUACCAGCCAGAAUAGAAUAAGUUCAAUCCAAGUGUCACAAAAACUCAUGCUGUCUUACAGUUGGGUUUUCAAAAAUUAGUAGAAUUUAAAAAAAUAAACAAAGGCUGGAGAGAUGGCCCUGGGCCAACCCUAACAACCUGAGUACAAGCCCCUAGACCCACACAAUGGAAGAAGAAAACUGAGUCAUGUACGUUGUCCUCUUAUCUCUACAUGGAUGCUGUGGCAUGUACCUUCCUCAAUAAAUGAAUUAAAAAUGUGAUAAAUUUA